GGAUUAGAUACCCUGGUAGUCCAUGCCGUAAACGAUGGGUACUUGGUGUUGGAGGUAUUGACCCCUUCAGUGCCGAAGCUAACGCGUUAAGUACCCCGCCUGGGAAGUACGGUCGCAAGAUUAAAACUCAAAGAAAUUGACGGGGGCCCGCACAAGCGGUGGAGCAUGUGGUUUAAUUCGAUGCAACGCGAAAAACCUUACCUAGGUUUGAAAUGUAGUGGAAGUCUACCAGAAAUGGUGACGCCUUCGGGCCGCUACACAGGUGCUGCAUGGCUGUCGUCAGCUCGUGCCG
rnacentral:rRNA from 1 species